ACCAUAUAUACAUCGAAAUAACAAAACCUCUUCUGGUAUGAACUGUUAUCCAAGAAAUUGGGAGAAUGUCGUCGGCACUGCACACUGCACACAUGCAAUAUGCAGGUGUUAAUCAGCUAAUUGGGGAUAGGUGGCAACGGGGAAACUUUGCAUUCUUGCUUCUCUGAACAACGCAGCUACGAGUGAAAGGCUGUCACGGCAGACAAGACGGUCUGAACUAACACUUCAGUUAAUACUAAAGCCUCUGUAACGUCUCGCCAUGAUUUCCGUGGCAGCGUU
rnacentral:lncRNA from 1 species